GCCUACGGGAGGCAGCAGUGGGGAAUAUUGCACAAUGGGCGAAAGCCUGAUGCAGCGACGCCGCGUGAGUGAAGAAGAAUUUCGGAAUGUAAAGCUCUAUCAGCAGGGAAGAAAAUGACGGUACCUGACUAAGAAGCCCCGGCUAACUACGUGCCAGCAGCCGCGGUAAUACGUAGGGGGCAAGCGUUAUCCGGAUUUACUGGGUGUAAAGGGAGCAUAGACGGCGAAGAAAGUCUGAAGUGAAAACGCAGGGUUCAACCCUGG
rnacentral:rRNA from 1 species